CUGGUCUGCCUCUUCUGGAGUGCCGUGCUUCAGGAUUAGCGACAGACAGACCUUCUGCAGCUCACGACAUUUACCUACUGUAUUUUCUUUAACAGCUGAAGUAAUGACAUCUUAUUGACAGCACAGCAGAGCAAACAAUGUCUUACUGAAAGCUUCAGUGCUGGAUUUGGGCUGUCCUAAGGACCUGAGACCAAGUAAAGUAAGCAGGUUUUGCUACUGAAUGAAAGACAAUGACUGUUCUAGUUCACCGGUGGCCUUUAGCACUCCUAGACACAAAAAAGAUUUAUGAGUCCAAAAUGUUUUAUAUUGCACAACCAGGGAAACAGAAGACCUUGGGAAGUUUCCCACAAACAGGUUUAAAAGCCUGAGAAAAGCUGGAGGGAAGCAUGUUCACCUGAGGCUCAGAAAAAUCAGAAAUCAUAGAAUGGCCUGGGUUGAAAAGGACCACAAUGAUCAUCGAGUUUCAACCCCCCUGCUAUGUGCAGGGUCGCCAACCACCAGACCAGGCUGCCCAGAGCCACAUCCAGCCUGGCCUUGAAUGCCUCCAGGGAUGGGGCAUCCACAGCCUCCUUGGGCAACCUGCUCCAGCACGUCACCACCCUCUGAGUGAAAAUUUGAGGCUAUUCAUAGUCCAGAAGUGGGUUACCAUCUGAGAUUAAAAAUUUUAACUGUCAAAGAGAGUUGAUUUUAAGAUUUUCAUUCCCCUUUUAGGUGAAUUUUAGUGUUUAUAUCUGCCAGGAAUGUGGGUUUGGUUUUUAUCCUUGCUGCUCCUGAGCUUUGAGGAAAACUUUAUCAGCACUUUAUACUUUUUUUUUUUUUUAGUAAUUUAUAGAAGGAUGGAAAGACCCAUUGCUUUUAUAUCAUUGAGUAAAAAAAAACUACGUAGGUACCGAGUGUUUCUUUUGUUUUGCACAUGUAAAUGUAAGUGUUUAGAGGGAUUUUUAGAUGAUCAUAGGUGUGCUUUUGGAUCUAAUUCUUAAGUAUGUACCAAAUGUGACUUAACAAAUUUUCAAGAUUGUAAGUUGGAGAAAAGCACAAUACGUAAUGACCUUACCUUCAACACAAACGAACAGACAACACUCAAGUACUCCCUUUGGAUACUUAUUUUGGACACUUAGCUCACUUGCUGUGUCUGCAAAAUUUUCUGAUACACAUUUCACGUUUGUUAGUGGUGAUUUUAGACUACAGAUAUGAGCAGAAGGUGCUGCAGGAGGCAAAGCACUAACCCACACUGCUUUGGAUUUCUUCUCAAAGCUCCUUUCCUCAUUGCGAAACCAGACCGGUUUUAAUCACUCUAGCACAAGUGUGCAGUGCCUCGGGAUAGCCCGGGGUGAGCUGUGCUCCCGCUGCAGGAAUUGCUGCGCGCUGCCCGCUCCUGGCACCAUGGGGGCCCUGCAGCACCACAUGGCCUCUGAAGGCAUCUUCCAGUCUUGGAGGGUUUUCUGACCCCAUGCUGUGCUGCCAGCAGAGCCAUCUCUUUUGGAAGUUUUUUAAAUUAUCCCGGGUACUGCUGACUGGAAAGUUUUCAACAGUACGUAUUCUUUUCAGAAAAUAAAGUAAAAUAAAAUAAAAUAAAAUAAAAUAAAAUAAAAUAGAAUGCCAGUUCAUCAAAAAAGGAACUUUAAACAGAAGUCUGUUGAGAGCAAAAUGAGAGAGAUGAGACAAAGAUCGUUUUCCUUCGAGAAAGUGGAAUUUCUGCUCUAGUCAGGAGAGACUGAAAGCCCUGGCCCCGCACAGCAGCAUCCUUACCUGCAAUAACCAUUACCUUCACAUCUGUGCAACUCAUCUGGCAGAAACAGCCUGGGGUUGAGUCCCCGACACACAGAAUCCAAAUUAGAUCUGUUAUUUCUACAGCCAGAUAAGAAGGCGAUGCUGCUACAACGGCCCACCACACCAUCAAUCUCAGUGCUGCGCUUUCCCCAGUCACACUUGCAUUCCUGUGUUGAAAGAACCACUGCAGCACUGCAAGAUCUGUCUUUGUUCCACAUUUUCUCAUAUAUUAAUAUGUUGGAUGCCAUUAUCCUGGGGAAAACUGGCUGUUUGCAAGAGCUCCAUUUCAGUAGUAGCUUUUCAAGACUUUUUUGGUCGUACAACUUAAAAAUCAUACCAUCAAUAGCAUUUCUCAUAAAAUGGAUGCCACCAGCCCACAGACACCCUCUGUGAUGGCCAUUUGGAGACAUGAGGAGGUCACAGCCACCAUGAGAUACCCUUGCAGAGCUGGCAGCACUAGGGCUGAGGUUGCAAUCCCCAUGAAGGUAGCCCUGAGGUGGUCAGUGGAUGGAGGGUCUAACCCUAUCCUUUUGGGUCUAACCACACCUGCCAGGAGAUGUUUUUGAGCCUUCAUUUUCAAGUUCCCCACAGCAUCCACAGUACCACUGGUAUGCAGCAUAUGGCCUGUGCAGUAACAAAUGAGGAGAUUUUAAAGGGACUUUUCUAAGCUUUGUGACUCACCCAGAACCAGGUGAUGCUGUCAUCCUCCCAAAGUUAAACUUGUUCCCUCACACUUUUGUGAUCUGGGUAUGUCUCUCUUGGACUAGUAAAUGGUAAUUUAAUGGGUUGUUUCCUCCAAUAUCCCACUUGUGCCGGUUAAAUGCAAUACAAUUUACCUGUCUGAUGGAUCAGGAGAGCAAUUGCUCCUCAUGUAAUGUGAAGCUUAUAAGUCCCAUACCUCUGCUCUGCCCAUAAAGGUGCAAUAUAGUUUCUCUGUUCUUUCAUAAGACAGGGCAAAUAGGAACAAGGCAGCAGCUGGGUAGUUUUCUUCUAUAUUCAUUUAUUUAUCUGUUGCACUCCUGAUUUUUGGUGUUUCACGUUUGCUGCUGCUGUAGUGAAGCCAAGACACACACACACACAUCUCCUCAUUCCUACAGCUCCAUGUAAAGCCAGCCUUAGUGAAGCUUAGCACUGCCUGUAUGUCGAAGGGAUACCUGCUGGCAGCCAGCAGCAGAGUCCAUUUCUAAAUUGAGGUGUGCACUGAAAAUGGGCUGCAAAAUAAUGCUGUUAGUGAGCAUGUUAAAGAGGAGCAGUUAUUAGCAGUCUUUCAGCUGAGUGCUAAGCUGUACUGAACAGAAUAAGGACAAGAGCAUUUCACAACUGAGGCAGUACAAGUUACAUUAUAAAUUUCAAUGUCAUGCUACACAGUUACAUUAAAUUAUUUUCCCCAUAUUUUGAGUUAUCCCCUCUUUCCUUAAACAGGGCAUUCUCCUAUGCAAAAUCAUUACAAGCCUAUUAGCAUGAAAAGGCAAAUGUCUAUGAAUAUUAAUAGAAUAUGAAUGCAUACUGUUACAGUUGUCCUCCUCCCUUUGUAUGGGCCAGGCCCAUUUCCAGAGGUAGGCUGACAGUGCAGGAGUGGAGCCUGGCUGACCCUCCUCGCUCUUAGCAGUGUGGGCAUCUUUGUAGGUUAACCUUUGCAUCCAUAUGCUGAGGUGCUGAUUAUGAGUCUCCAAUUGUGAAAAUCUCUUAAGAUAGAAAGAUGGUGGUUUCUGUCUUCUUCCUUCCAGCUGACUUGAAACAAUUUUUCACAGUCUACAAGCAGAUUACUUUUAUUCUGGAAAAGAACAAUAUGGAAGACAUCAAUAGAU
ensembl:lncRNA